rnacentral:rRNA from 1 species
AGUCAUAUGCUUGUCUCAAAGAUUAAGCCAUGCAUGUCUAAGUAUAAGCACCUUAUACUGUGAAACUGCGAAUGGCUCAUUAAAUCAGUUAUGGUUUAUUUGAUGGUACCUACUACUUGGAUAACCGUAGUAAUUCUAGAGCUAAUACAUGCAGGAAGACCCGACUUCGGAAGGGUUGUAUUUAUUAGAUAAGAAACCAAUCCAGCUUGCUGGUUGUGUGCCGAGUCACAAUAACUUUUCGAAUCGCAUGGCUUCACGCCGGCGAUGGUUCAUUCAAAUUUCUGCCCUAUCAGCUUUCGAUGGUAGGAUCGAGGCCUACCAUGGCGUUUACGGGUAACGGAGAAUUAGGGUUCGAUUCCGGAGAGGGAGCCUGAGAGAUGGCUACCACAUCCAAGGAAGGCAGCAGGCGCGUAAAUUGCCCGAAUCCUGACACAGGGAGGUAGUGACAAGAAAUAACAAUACAGGGCAUCCAUGUCUUGUAAUUGGAAUGAGUAAACUUUAAAUCACUUUACGAGUAUCAAU